rnacentral:snoRNA from 1 species
UCAUUCUGUGACUGUGUAAAGUCCCCAGUCAGGAGCUCCUUCCCUGCCCUGUGAUGUGCAGUCCCUUUCCACAACAUUGGAGCUGAAGCUGGGCCUCUGAGUCUGUGCCUGUAUAUUCCUACGACUUCUCAGAGUCCUGUGAACAGUGACCGAUGAGACAAACUGCAGGAAAUGAUG